rnacentral:rRNA from 1 species
AAGAGCACGAUCCUUCCCACCCCUUUUGUGGUCCCUUACCUUCCUGGUCUGGCUCCUGGCGGGCCGCGGUCCUCCGCGGCAGCCCCCCUCCCCGGGGGGGUGGCCAGCGCCCGCCAGAGGACCAUCAAACUCCAGUCAGUAAACGAUGCAGUCUGAAAAACAUUUAAUAAACUAAAACUUUCAACAACGGAUCUCUUGGUUCUGGCAUCGAUGAAGAACGCAGCGAAAUGCGAUAAGUAAUGUGAAUUGCAGAAUUCAGUGAAUCAUCGAAUCUUUGAACGCACAUUGCGCCCUUUGGUAUUCCGAAGGGCAUGCCUGUUCGAGCGUCAUUACAACCCUCAAGCUCUGCUUGGUAUUGGGCACCGUCCUUUGCGGGCGCGCCUCAAAGACCUCGGCGGUGGCGUCUUGCCUCAAGCGUAGUAGAACAUACAUCUCGCUUCGGAGCGCAGGGCGUCGCCCGCCGGACGAACCUUCUGAACUUUUCUCAAGGUUGACCUCGGAUCAGGUAGGGAUACCCGCUGAACUUAAGCAUUAAAG